rnacentral:rRNA from 1 species
GACGAACGCUGGCGGCGUGCUUAACACAUGCAAGUCGAACGGAAAGGCCCUGCUUUUGUGGGGUGCUCGAGUGGCGAACGGGUGAGUAACACGUGAGUAACCUGCCCUUGACUUUGGGAUAACUUCAGGAAACUGGGGCUAAUACCGGAUAGGAGCUCCUGCUGCAUGGUGGGGGUUGGAAAGUUUCGGCGGUUGGGGAUGGACUCGCGGCUUAUCAGCUUGUUGGUGGGGUAGGGGCUUACCAAGGCUUUGACGGGUAGCCGGCCUGAGAGGGUGACCGGCCACAUUGGGACUACGAGACGGCCCAGACUCCUACGGGGGGCAGCAGUGGGGAAUAUUGUACAAUGGGCCGAAGCCGGAUGCGGCAACGCCGCGGGCGGGAUGACGGCCUUCGGGUUGUAAACCGCUUUCGCCUGUGACGAAGCGUGAGUGACGGUAAUGGGUAAAGAAGCACCGGCUAACUACGUG